rnacentral:rRNA from 2 species
CAUCCUCCAAGGCUAAAUACUCCUGACUGACCGAUAGUGAACCAGUACCGUGAGGGAAAGGCGAAAAGAACCCCGGCGAGGGGAGUGAAAAAGAACCUGAAACCGUGUACGUACAAGCAGUGGGAGCCCCACCACUAAGCCAGUGGUGAACUCCACAUCCGCAUCCUUUGCUGAGGAUACGGUUAACGGAGCGAAAGCGACGUUCAACCGCAAAACAAGCAGAGGGGGCUUAGUGGUGGGGUGACUGCGUACCUUUUGUAUAAUGGGUCAGCGACUUAUAUUCUGUAGCAAGGUUAACCGUAUAGGGGAGCCGGAGGGAAACCGAGUCUUAAUUGGGCGUUAAGUUGCAGGGUAUAGACCCGAAACCCGGUGAUCUAGCCAUGGGCAGGUUGAAGGUUGGGUAACACUAACUGGAGGACCGAACCGACUAAUGUUGAAAAAUUAGCGGAUGACCUGUGGCU